GUGCCGUUUCAUUGUGAGGACAAAUAGAACAAUCCAAUAACAUAACAAUAUUGGCCAGAAAACAGGUACAUCCAAUACAGAGAAGAAGGUCAAAAGAAAAGCCACAACAAAAGCUUUUGUGAUGGCAUACCAGAACUUGCUAAACUCAGGCAGUCGGCGAAUAAAAGGCCUGAACUCAUCAGAACCUUUGGUUGGUAAGGAAGCCCCAUCCAACGCUUCAAGCUC
rnacentral:misc_RNA from 1 species